AGAAAAAUUCACGCACUUACAAAGCAGAAAAGCACAAUCGACAGAUUGACUUUGCAUUUACAAAGCAGAAAAACUCACUCUUACAAAGCAGAAAAGCACAAUCGACAGAUUGACUUCACGAAGUGCUACUCAAUUACUGAAGAAACACAUUGAAGAACUUGGUUCUAAGUAUAGAAUUCAGUAUAGAAUCCAGCUAAGAGUUUUAACAUUGAUUUUUAAAGUUGUUCAUUGUGUUUGAACUAUUGAUGUAAUACUAGUGUGUUAUAAACUGAAUUAAGAGCUAGUCUUUGAGUUGGGGAAAACUCAGAGACUUUGGGAACGCAUACCUUAGGAGGUGUGUGUAGUUAGGGAAAACUCAGAGACUUUGGGAACGCAUACCUUAGGAGGUGUGUGUAGUUAGGAAUUAGAGUUUAUAAUUUCUAGUCGUUGAGUUAAAUGAAUUAGAGUUUAUAAUUCCUAUUUGUUGGUUACAAGAGUUUUGUAAUCAGUCGGUGUUGAGUGUUAGAGUUAUUUAGUGAAGUUGGGGUUAAAUACUGUAGACGUGCAGGUCGAGUUUUGUAAUCAGUUGGUGUUGAGGCUCAAAGUUAUUUAGUGAAGUUGGGGUUAAAUACUGUAGAUGUGCAGGUCGUGGUUUUUUACACCGUUUGAGCCGAAUGUUUUUCACGUAAAAAUUGUUGUGUUUCUUACUUUCUGUUUUACUGCUUCCUUGGAACACAUCAGGCAACACAUUCCAUUCAUAGGUAACUCUUACGUUAAAAUCACUGAUUAGUAGGGACGUACUCCAACAGCAACUUCAAUCCAAGGCUUCAAAUUCACCAACUUCUUUGCCAUUGUUAGCACGUACCAUGCCAAUUUGUACAAACA
rnacentral:lncRNA from 1 species